GAUGAACGCUAGCGGGAGGCUUAAUACAUGCAAGUCGAACGGUAAGGUCUAGCUUGCUAGAUACACGAGUGGCGAACGGGUGAGUAACGCGUACAGAAUCUGCCCUUGAGUGGGGGAUAGCCCUGGGAAACUGGGAUUAAUACCCCAUAGUAUUGAUUUUAUUAUUUAUGAUCAAUUAAAACUCCGGUGCUCAAGGAUGACUGUGCGUCCCAUUAGCUUGUUGGUAAGGUAACGGCUUACCAAGGCUACGAUGGGUAGGGGGCGUGAGAGCGUGGCCCCCCACACGGGUACUGAGACACGGACCCGACUCCUACGGGAGGCAGCAGUAAGGAAUAUUGGACAAUGGGCGAAAGCCUGAUCCAGCCAUCCCGCGUGCAGGAUGACGGCCCUAUGGGUUGUAAACUGCUUUUUUAUGGGAAGAAAAGCUCUGAUUUACUCAGAGUCUGACGGUACCAUACGAAUAAGCACCGGCUAACUCCG
rnacentral:rRNA from 1 species